UGGACAAUCCGUUCAACGGAUGGUAGAUGGUAUAUGGAUAUCUGUGGGAAGACGCCAUCAAGUCUAGUUAUUUCGACUUUUGCUUACUUAACUUGAUAACACCAUAACCCGACGUAGAUUGGAUAUAGCCUUCCAUGCGUGUGAAAAUAAGCCCGAAAAUUGUAUCCAAAAAUGUUGUUAAAGAUAUUUUAUGACAAAUUAUGAAGUAACAAAUUAUAUUUUGUAAAUAUCAGAAUAACGAUACAGGACUAUUUGAUAAGCGUGACUACGAUAGCGUGCAGGGACCAUAAAUAUUUUAAAAAUAAAAAUGAUAUCGAGCUUUCCUAAAUGUUCGAUUUCUACUAUGUAUAACGACACUGUAUCUUGCCAAUAAGACGAAAGUCUGUACCUAUAUGUAUAUGGCCACAUUUUUUAAGAUUUAUAGAUGUGAAUUUAAUUAAUAGCCAUAAUAGAAAACUUGGUGCUCCUAUGAUUAUAUUUCUCGAUAGACCCUAUUUGUUAACGAAUAUAAUAAACGUUAAACUCAGGUAGUAUAUAAGUCAGAACGAGCCGGAUCGGGCGACUAUAUCAUAUAGCUGCCAAAGGAACAAUCAGAAAAAAAAUUUUAAAAAAUUAUUACUUUUUGUUUUGUUCUGUGCUGCUUGCACAAUGGACAAUCCGUUCAACGGAUGGUAGAUGGUAUAUGGAUAUCUGUGGGAAGACGCCAUCAAGUCUAGUUAUUUCGACUUUUGCUUACUUAACUUGAUAACACCAUAACCCGACGUAGAUUGGAUAUAGCCUUCCAUGCGUGUGAAAAUAAGCCCGAAAAUUGUAUCCAAAAAUGUUGUUAAAGAUAUUUUAUGACAAAUUAUGAAGUAACAAAUUAUAUUUUGUAAAUAUCAGAAUAACGAUACAGGACUAUUUGAUAAGCGUGACUACGAUAGCGUGCAGGGACCAUAAAUAUUUUAAAAAUAAAAAUGAUAUCGAGCUUUCCUAAAUGUUCGAUUUCUACUAUGUAUAACGACACUGUAUCUUGCCAAUAAGACGAAAGUCUGUACCUAUAUGUAUAUGGCCACAUUUUUUAAGAUUUAUAGAUGUGAAUUUAAUUAAUAGCCAUAAUAGAAAACUUGGUGCUCCUAUGAUUAUAUUUCUCGAUAGACCCUAUUUGUUAACGAAUAUAAUAAACGUUAAACUCAGGUAGUAUAUAAGUCAGAACGAGCCGGAUCGGGCGACUAUAUCAUAUAGCU